rnacentral:lncRNA from 1 species
GAAAGGUCCUUUGUUUCAUUGUAUUUCUUCGUCAGCCCACAAUGGUUAACCAUCCAUCCAAUGGGAGGGCAUGAGGAAGAAGAAAGAGCAUGGAGAUGAUGAGAGAGCGGUGGAGAGAGGAAGAGACUGCGAGGGAGAGAGAUAAAAAACCCAUGUAUAUCCUUUUCUAUCAUAAACCAACUUAUUAAAUCGACAAAUAAUUGAUCCACUGCAUAAACCUAAAUAGGCCCAUCAUAUGACCUCCAAUCUAACGGUCCUCAUUAUAUCUUUCUUUAAUUAAUUAGAUGGUCACUACGGUGAGACCUUAUGCAAGAAUAUAUUUAAAACCUUUGCUCUUCUGCAUCAUAAAUGUCACGCCCCGAGCCCGAAGCGCGAUAGACGCCGCAUGCCCGCACGACGGACCGUACAGGCGUGCAAGGCAGCUGAUCAUAUCAAAGCUAUCUUAUGGCCCUGUUGGGCACAUCUGAAACAAGCGCCGAAUAACC